GCCAUUCCUGUUGACUCCCCUUCAAGCUAUUCCCCAUGCACAUAUAUCCACAUAUAUCCAAAAGAAACAGGUAAAGUCCAUCUAUGCACAUAAAAGCCCACUUAUUUUUUCUCCCAAUUAUAAGAGAACAACUUUUCAAGGCUAUAUAAAAAAGAGAGCCUUGCUAUUUUCUAACACGUAUUUUUACAGACAAGUAGUACAUAGUAUAUAUACUAAAACUUUGCUAAACAAAUCAAGUUGAUGUCUUACUGGAGCAAUGAAUUGACCUCUAAUAACAGCUAUAGCUCACCUAUAGUAAUCAGAUAAAACUAGAUUACCCUGGAUUAACAAAUUUUUUUUUGUUUUCUUUUUUUGUUUGUUUGUUUGUUUUUGGUGUAGAAGGGGAAUGUUGUGAAAGAGAACAGUUGGAAAACCCAAAAAUAUACAAAUCCACAAAUACUUAGUUUAUGUCUAUAAACAAAGAAAAAGCCUUUUACUUAUCUUCAGAAAUGAAAGUAUAAGCACAAAGACAAUUGAUCAAAUUAUUAAUUGUGGUCUUCUACUGGAGACUAUGACCCAUGUCAUUUUAGUUAUACAUAAAGAAAAAUAAUGGUGUAGGUGAUACCUAAUGUUAUCCAUGUAUCCGUGAAGAAAAAGUACUGCACAGAAAUAUGAACACAACUAAUCAGAUUUAUCUUUUAUAUAUGACAUUUUAUAGAUGCUAGCAGAUUUUUCUAAGCUUUCUUAAAACUGUCAUUAUAAAAUAUUUGUAAUACUAAAGUCAAGAAUUUAAUUUAGUAUCAUGGAUCUAAUUCAUUAACUCUUUUGAAGUAAAAGUAAAUCAAAUUUUAAUAAACUUUAGUCUGACAAUAUUUGCUCACAUUAAAAAAAUUAUUUAGAACUUUAACAUGUGUGAUAUAUAAUAAAUAACAGAUAUAUAUUUUACAUAUAAUAUAUAAUAUAUAUGUGUUGGAUAAAUAUAUAAGGAUACAUAUAUAUGAACAUAUAUGUAUAUGUAUACAUAUAUAUGAACAUAUAUGUAUAUGUAUACAUAUAUAUGUAUAUACACACAUAUGUAUCCUUAUAUAUUUAUACAAUAAUCAGUAUAUUAUUACAAAGUAAUUGUAUAUUUCUCCAAAAAUAAGGAGGCAGUGGUUAUUUAAAACAAUAAUAUCAAAAAGUCUCCUCAAAAUAAAACACAUCCAUAUUUUAACAUAAUUGCAAUUUGGUCAUAUUGGUUAUAGUAUAAACAUAAUAUUGAUUUAGAAGGACACAUUUUUCAGAUCUUAGGAAAAUUACAGGUAACAAAUUCAUCAUUCCUCCAUCUCCCUCUUCCCUUCUUGGUUACACUGUAUGUAUCUUUAUCACUUCACUAUUUAUAAAGUGAUCUAUCAAUGAACAACAUCUUUUAAAUCACUGUCCUUGCUUCAUUCUUUUUCCUAACAUUUUCUUGCUAGUUGGUAUCCAUCAUUCUUACCCACAUUUGGGGAGAUAGAAAAGUUUUUGUAUUCCUCAUUUUGUUGUACCUAUCCACCUAAUGCCUUAAAAAUCAAAUUAUUAACAUGCAGGAUAAGUCACCUAAUCAUGAGAAUUAGCAGCUUUUUGGUUUAAUUAUAAUCAUAAACUUUUCUUCUGAAUCAAUGUUCACGUAUUCAAUCAUUUAUCUUCAGAAAUGUCUUCUUAUAUCAAAAAUUCAAAUCUGAGACUUUAUCUCCUUUCACAUUUUACAAUGUCUGAACUUCUUUAUAAUCUAUUUUAGACUCUAACAACUUUGUAAAUAUAUUACUUGUCAUUGUUCUCUACUUUUAAGUUUGAAUGUGAUAUCACUCUUUAUAGAAGGCUCCAAGCAAAUCUGAGAAUAAGUUUUGAAUUGAUUUAGUUACUUUUUACGUGCAUUUAUUUCCAAAUGCACACUAAAAUAUUAGAAAGAUGGUGGUUAUACAAAUUAGAUCUCUUUCGUCACACAUUUUCUUCUAAAUGUAUAUUUUCAAGUGUCUUAGUAAUUUCUUGCAGCUGAAAUAGAGAAGCUGAUAUUUUUAUUAAAUAGUUUUCAGAAAACCUCAAUCUCUUUAUCUCUACCACUGCUCUUUGGCUUUCUCUAAACAUACACCUGUAUGCACCAUAAAUAUAUUUAUUGUGAAUAUGAAAGUUCCUCAAGGUUCCUGCGUGUUUAUAUCUAACAUCACUGAUCUAUAAGGCAUAUAUUAAACUUUAGUGCUUCUUUAGUAAUAAUGAUGCGCUUGUACCACCACCUAUCCACACUCUCACACAAUCACCCCUUUUGAAGUAAAGCCUAUAUUUUAAAAAUAACCAUUACAGAUUGUGAGUGCAGUCUAGGAUCACAUAGCAGAACUAAAAGCUAACUGGCCCACCCACAAAGUAAAUGUGAGACAGAGGGCUCGGGGUAGCCAUACUCUAGCCAAGUAGUACUGACAGAUACCAAUAGAUAUAAUCAAAUGUUACACAUUUGUGUUUGCAAACGGGAUAAAUAUUUUCCUGACCAAUCUAUACUUUUGAUGAUUCAAGCUACAGGAUAAGUUUUAAAAAUGUCUUUUGCACUUAUCUACAUUACUUAAUAGUAUCUUCUUGUCAUAGACAACUGUUUUACACCAUUUUAGUAGGAAAUCAAUUUGUCAUUCAAUUCCAUUUUCUAAUGCAGUAGUCCAACCCAACCCAGAAUGCAUUAUUGAUAUGGAAAUGAGUGUAAUUAGCAGCGUAAAUGAUCUGUUAUUUAUGAUACAAGUCAGAGCAGUAAAUCACCAUUGGCUCACUAUCAUUACUAUGCAAAUAGAAGAAAGCAGUUAAUGGUCCAUGUGUUUAAAACAGGCCACUUGCUUGCUCAUUUGCAAAUGAAAGGCAAGGGUGAGAGUUUAAGGUAGAGAUGACAGUUUAUCAUAUUGUCAGUCCUGGUACUUGGACUUAAGAAAACCAAGACAC
rnacentral:lncRNA from 10 species